ACGGCGACCGGCGCACGGGUGAGUAACACGUAUGCGACCUGCCCGUAGCAGGGGGAUAAGCGGAAGAAAUUCCGUCUAAUACCGCGUAAUAUCUUUCGGGGGCAUCCCUGAGGGAUUAAAGGAGGCGAUUCCGGCUACGGAUGGGCAUGCGGCGCAUUAGCUAGUCGGCGGGGUAACGGCCCACCGAGGCGACGAUGCGUAGGGGUUCUGAGAGGAAGGUCCCCCACACUGGUACUGAGACGCGGACCAGACUCCUACGGAAGGCAGCAG
rnacentral:rRNA from 1 species